UCGGAUAUGGUGAAAUGGCUAACAUUGCCGCCUUUCGUUAUUGUAUGUUUAUACAUAGUUGGUUGCGCGCCAGCUCGGGGUUCGAAUCCUCGUAUCCGAG